rnacentral:sRNA from 1 species
UCAUAAACCUGACAGGAGCGGCAGCCUCCGAUUUUUCUAUCGGAGCUACAGCGGAUGGCGGGACUACCU